rnacentral:rRNA from 1 species
CCUACGGGUGGCAGCAGUGGGGAAUAUUGGGCAAUGGACGAAAGCCUGACCCAGCAACGCCGCGUGAAUGAUGAAGGCCUUCGGGUUGUAAACUUCUUUUCUCAGGGACGAAGAAAGUGACGGUACCUGAGGAAUAAGCCACGGCUAACUACGUGCCAGCAGCCGCGGUAAUACGUAGGUGGCAAGCGUUAUCCGGAUUUAUUGGGUGUAAAGGGCGUGUAGGCGGGUGGGCAAGUCAGUAGCGAAACCUCAGGGCUCAACCCUGGGACUACUUUUGAAACUGUGUUUCUUGAGUGCUGGAGGGGCAAUCGGAAUUCCGAGUGUAGCGGUGAAAUGCGUAGAUAUUAGGAGGAACACCAGUGGCGAAGGCGGGUUGCUGGACAGUAACUGACGCUGAGGCACGAAAGCGUGGGGAGCAAACAGGAUUAGAUACCCUAGUAGUC